GCGAGAGGAGGGCAGAGAUGUGGACCCACACAGAGGCCACGCCGGGGCUGAGCAAGGACGGCCCCGGAUAGGGCGGGCUUAGAGAGGGGCACGGAGGCUGGACCCUGGCCUUGAAGGAGCCCCUGCAAGGUGGGGGCUGCACUGGGGUUGUGGCAGGGGAACAUGUGGACCACAGAAAGCAUCACACCUGGGCUGGUGCUGGACAUCCCCAGCACCAACCACACCUUCUCAUCGCCAGGGCCUCCUGUUCAGGCUGCUUGGACUCUCAAGCUCUGUCUGCUUUGUUCCUACUUGGCAGAACUGGGCGCCUCUCAGCACUCACUUGGAGACGUGGGGUCGGAACUCUGGUGGCCUGGUGCCUCUCCCAGCCAGCACAGGACCUGGAUGAAUGAACACACACCCUUCCUUUCCCAGGCUCUGCCGUGUCUUCUGUCAAAGCAUCAGAAAUCAGGGGCUUUGGCAGGACAACUGAAAUGGUAUAGCGGCUGCAGCAAAGCCUGGAGUCCAACUUACGUCCACGUCUCACAAGGUACAUCUUCAUAACAUGUGCCACUCCUGGCUCUUUUAUUUUCCUGCCACUCACUUUUUCUUAUUUUUAACAGAUAUUCCUUGCAACGUUGCUUGCAUAUUUGUUAAGUGGCCACUAAAUCCCUUCUGGAACUAGGCAGGGAGAAAAUCAGUCGAUUGACCGAUACAAGACAGAAUGAAGUGAUAAUCGCUACCUUUCACUGAGUGCUUUCUAUGUGCCAGGGACAAUCCUAGACAUUUUUUAUUUUUUUAGAUGGAGUUUUGCUCAUGUCACCCAGGCUGGA
rnacentral:lncRNA from 1 species